rnacentral:rRNA from 1 species
CCUGCUUUCAGUUGCUACCGGGUCAAGCCGAGCACUCUGAAAGGACUGCCCAGGAUAACGGGGAGGAAGGUGGGGAUGACGUCAAGUCAGCAUGGCCUUUAUACCUGGGGCUACACACGUGCAACAAUGGCCGGUACAAAGCGCUGCAAAC